rnacentral:tRNA from 1 species
GCCUUCGUGGUGUAAUGGUCAGCACACUCGGCGCGUAUUCGAGAGGUCCAGGUUCGAGUCCCGGCGAGGGCA